AAAGCUCAUGUCUGUAACAAUGGCAUUUGCCUUGUUAAUGACUUCGUCAUCACCGAAGAUAUCACUGAAGAUAUCAUUUUAGGAAUACCUUUCGUCAAUAAGAUUCGACCUUACUGGAGUGACUACGAUGGAAUUCGUACAACUCUUUUAAACCAGACCUUAUUUUUUCCUCUAUUAAGGCCCCUCUCGCAAGAAGAAGGCAACCUUAU
rnacentral:lncRNA from 1 species